GUACGGCCAGUGCAUUUUUUGCCAUACAUGUCUUUAAGGAAAGCACGGUAACUAAAUGUAACAUGAUAAGUCAUUCCACACCAGCGCCAUUAUAAUUAGAGGUAGCAGCAUCGGGCCGGAUGGCUCGAGGUCGGCAGCGGCUGCCAGUUUGCAUUCAGCUCACUUUGAGGACAGACAAAAGAGUUGUAAUGAUAACAGCUGUCCCCGCGGACAAUAGCUGCUAGCCGAAACAGCACCAGCGGAGCCAAGAUGAGACAUCGAGAUUCACAGGACAGGACAUCAAGUUAUAGUAAUUACCGAGUGUAAUCAAAUACGUCAGUAAUCACGGUGCUCCAAAGGCUCUAAUCGCAGGUUCUGACUGGGAUUCUUGGCACGCGGCUUCCUUUUUUUCUGGAGCGUGUCUAUUUUCUGCUUCUUCCAUCUGAAGAAGAAGAUGUGUUGACUUUCAGACCCCGGGGGGCUAUAACCCUGCUGUUGAUGCAUGGAGACAGGAGAGUGAUGCGACUAAAUAUAAAUGCAUUGCGGCAGAUACAUGGAUACUCUACAAUAGCACAGAUCUGUGGAUAAAGGACGUUUUGCUUCUUGCUGAAGAGGAAGUAAAGAAAGCAGAAAAAAACUGUCACAGCCAACCAUUUUAUUGGGAAUUGGGAAAAAAACGGUAAAUGGGAUGUACUUCAAAAUAACGAUACAAAGCAAACCAACAGGACAUGUAAACUAUUGAAAGCAUUUUCAAAAUAAAUCUGAUGGCAUAAGAUUUUUUUUCUCAAGUGAGAAAACAGGUGUUUUCGGAUCUGUUUCGUAACUGUUGCCGUUACGUUGGUCUACUACAUUUUAAGAAGGAGGACAAAAAUAACUAAUAUUAUGCAGGAAACAGAAGGUAAGAAGGAAGGUCGAUGGUUUCACUGACACUUGAGUUUUCACAAACAUUUCUGAUGAUACAACCAACAUUUGUCCCUAACAAAGACACAGUGGUCUGACUAAGAGUGACC
ensembl:lncRNA